rnacentral:rRNA from 1 species
AUUGAACGCUGGCGGCAGGCCUAACACAUGCAAGUCGAACGGUAGCACAGAGAGCUUGCUCUCGGGUGACGAGUGGCGGACGGGUGAGUAACGACUGUGAAACUGCCCGAUGGAGGGGGAUAACUACUGGAAACGGUAGCUAAUACCGCAUAACGGCGCAAGACCAAAGUGGGGGACCUUCGGGCCUACCACGAUCGGAUGUGCUCAAAUGGGAUUAGCUAGUAGGUGGGGUAAUGGCUCACCUAGGCGAUGUUCCCUAGCUGGUCUGAGAGGAUGACCAGCCACACUGGAACUGAGACACGGUCCAGACUCCUACGGGAGGCGGCAGUGGGGAAUAUUGCACAAUGGGCGCAAGCCUGAUGCAGCCAUGCCGCGUGUAUGAAGAAGGCCUUCGGGUUGUAAAGUACUUUCAGCGGGGAGGAAGGCGGUGAAGUUAAUAACUUCACCGAUUGACGUUACCCGCAGAAGAAGCACCGGCUAACUCCGUGCCAGCAGCCGCCGCAG